rnacentral:rRNA from 1 species
UUUGCAUAUCCAAAAGCUGAGGAAAAGAAACCAACAGGGAUUGCCCCAGUAACGGCGAGUGAAGCGGCAACAGCUCAAAUUUGAAAUCUGGCCCCCCGGCCCGAGUUGUAAUUUGGAGAGGAUGCUUCUGGCGCGGCGCCGUCCGAGUUCCUUGGAACAGGACGCCACAGAGGGUGAGAGCCCCGUACGGACGGACGCCUAGCCUCUACGAAGCUCCUUCGACGAGUCGAGUAGUUUGGGAAUGCUGCUCAAAAUGGGAGGUAAAUUUCUUCUAAAGCUAAAUACCGGCCAGAGACCGAUAGCGCACAAGUAGAGUGAUCGAAAGAUGAAAAGCACUUUGAAAAGAGGGUUAAAAAGUACGUGAAAUUGUUGAAAGGGAAGCGCCUGUGACCAGACUUGCGCCCCGCGGACCACCCGGCGUUCUCGCCGGUGCACUCUGCGGUGCGCAGGCCAGCAUCGGUUCUCCCAGGGGGACAAAGGCCGCGGGAACGUAGCUCCUUCGGGAGUGUUAUAGCCCGCGGCGGCAUGCCCCUGGGGGGACCGAGGACCGCGCUUCGGCAAGGAUGCUGGCGUAAUGGUCACCAGCGACCCGUCUUGAACCAACGGACCAAAA